UGCAAGUCGAGCGGACAGAUGGGAGCUUGCUCCCUGAUGUUAGCGGCGGACGGGUGAGUAACACGUGGGUAACCUGCCUGUAAGACUGGGAUAACUCCGGGAAACCGGGGCUAAUACCGGAUGGUUGUUUGAACCGCAUGGUUCAAACAUAAAAGGUGGCUUCGGCUACCACUUACAGAUGGACCCGCGGCGCAUUAGCUAGUUGGUGAGGUAACGGCUCACCAAGGCAACGAUGCGUAGCCGACCUGAGAGGGUGAUCGGCCACACUGGGACUGAGACACGGCCCAGACUCCUACGGGAGGCAGCAGUAGGGAAUCUUCCGCAAUGGACGAAAGUCUGACGGAGCAACGCCGCGUGAGUGAUGAAGGUUUUCGGAUCGUAAAGCUCUGUUGUUAGGGAAGAACAAGUACCGUUCGAAUAGGGCGGUACCUUGACGGUACCUAACCAGAAAGCCACGGCUAACUACGUGCCAGCAGCCGCGGUAAUACGUAGGUGGCAAGCGUUGUCCGGAAUUAUUGGGCGUAAAGGGCUCGCAGGCGGUUUCUUAAGUCUGAUGUGAAAGCCCCCGGCUCAACCGGGGAGGGUCAUUGGAAACUGGGGAACUUGAGUGCAGAAGAGGAGAGUGGAAUUCCACGUGUAGCGGUGAAAUGCGUAGAGAUGUGGAGGAACACCAGUGGCGAAGGCGACUCUCUGGUCUGUAACUGACGCUGAGGAGCGAAAGCGUGGGGAGCGAACAGGAUUAGAUACCCUGGUAGUCCACGCCGUAAACGAUGAGUGCUAAGUGUUAGGGGGUUUCCGCCCCUUAGUGCUGCAGCUAACGCAUUAAGCACUCCGCCUGGGGAGUACGGUCGCAAGACUGAAACUCAAAGGAAUUGACGGGGGCCCGCACAAGCGGUGGAGCAUGUGGUUU
rnacentral:rRNA from 1 species